rnacentral:lncRNA from 1 species
GCGGGAAAGAGCUUUUCUGUUUAUAAAUCUUUAGCUUUCCAGCAAUGUUGAGAAUGGCGUCUCUAGUUCCAAGGUCUUCCGGAGAUAAGAGAAUGCACGUCCAUUGCAAAGCAGUAUUGCCUCCGAGAGAUGGACAAAUGUUGGAAGGCAGCAGAGACUUACAGGAGCUCCUGGGCCUUGAGUUCAAGCCUCAGCUCUGGAUUUACUGCCUGGCUGCUGGGCUCUGCUGUGAUGCCCUUAUCAAGAGCCCCUUCAGAGCUUUCUAGACGGAUUGCAAGGUUGGCGUAUUUUUAAAUAAACAGCAAGCUGGGCCCAGAA